rnacentral:rRNA from 1 species
UACGAAGGGUGCAAGCGUUACUCGGAAUUACUGGGCGUAAAGCGUGCGUAGGUGGUUCGUUAAGUCUGAUGUGAAAGCCCUGGGCUCAACCUGGGAAUGGCAUUGGAAACUGGCGACCUAGAGUGCGGUAGAGGGUAGUGGAAUUCCCGGUGUAGCAGUGAAAUGCGUAGAGAUCGGGAGGAACAUCCGUGGCGAAGACGACUACCUGGACCAGCACUGACACUGAGGCACGAAAGCGUGGGGAGCAAACAGG